CAGAUGUUAGUUUAUUUAAAAUACUGGUUUUGGAGACCAUUGAAGGAUUAAUUUUUCUACUUCUGA
rnacentral:tRNA from 1 species